rnacentral:rRNA from 1 species
AGCGAACGCUGGCGGCAGGCUUAACACAUGCAAGUCGAGCGGGCCCUUCGGGGUCAGCGGCCGACGGGUGAGUAACACGUGGGAACGUACCCUUUGGUUCGGAAUAACGCUGGGAAACUAGCGCUAAUACCGGAUACGCCCUUUUGGGGAAAGGCUUGCUGCCGAAGGAUCGGCCCGCGUCUGAUUAGCUAGUUGGUGGGGUAAUGGCCUACCAAGGCGACGAUCAGUAGCUGGUCUGAGAGGAUGAUCAACCACACUGGGACUGAGACACGGCCCAGACUCCUACGGGAGGCAGCAGUGGGGAAUAUUGGACAAUGGGCGCAAGCCUGAUCCAGCCAUGCCGCGUGAGUGAUGAAGGCCUUAGGGUUGUAAAGCUCUUUUGUCCGGGACGAUAAUGACGGUACCGGAAGAAUAAGCCCCGGCUAACUUCGUG